rnacentral:rRNA from 1 species
AACGAACGCUGGCGGCAUGCCUAACACAUGCAAGUCGAACGAAGCCUUCGGGCUUAGUGGCGCACGGGUGCGUAACGCGUGGGAAUCUGCCCUUGGGUUCGGAAUAACAGUUAGAAAUGACUGCCAAUACCGGAUGAUGUCUUCGGACCAAAGAUUUAUCGCCCAAGGAUGAGCCCGCGUAGGAUUAGGUAGUUGGUGGGGUAAUGGCCCACCAAGCCGACGAUCCUUAGCUGGUCUGAGAGGAUGAUCAGCCACACUGGGACUGAGACACGGCCCAGACUCCUACGGGAGGCAGCAGUGGGGAAUAUUGGACAAUGGGCGAAAGCCUGAUCCAGCAAUGCCGCGUGAGUGAUGAAGGCCUUAGGGUUGUAAAGCUCUUUUACCAGGGAUGAUAAUGACAGUACCUGGAGAAUAAGCUCCGGCCAACUCCGUGCCAGCAGCCGCGGUAA